UCUUACACCAAACAAAACUCGCUUAACCCUAACGACAAAUCCUCAGCCUCUGACCACAUGAAAACUAUAUAACGAGAUUCCGCCAUUCACCUUGCGAAGAAACUCUCCUUCCCUGCAGCAGAAGCCUCAAGAUGUGAUCUUCUGUUGAUAUCCUUAACGACUUCGACUUCACCCUUGUCACUGUAAAAUGAGUCUAUGAUUGAUUCUUUACCCGAGAAUUCGAUGUAUCAAAGAAACAUCCAAGCUCAACGACAGUAAACUAUUACGAUAAAUCUCCUCCGGCUCAGUAGCAUUCGCCAGAAAAUAAGUCUCUUUCGUCGAGGAGUGUUUUGAAAGGGAGGGAAAGAGAGGAUGUGGUCGAGGAUCUGGUUUGGUAAAUUAGACCAGAUGAUUGGAUCCAUAGUGGUUGGAGAAGAUAUGUCGGUAAAAGAAGACUCCAGUGACCAGUUGAGAAAAGUGGAGGCUAAGGUUGAAGUAGUGGUGAUGAUGAUGAGAGAUUAGGAAUUUUGCAAGUGGAAGGAUUUUUUAAAGAUUUUUAUAGGAAGAAGUCAACCACAUGGUGACAAGUACGUCAACGUGUAAAGAGAGAGUUUGAAAGUAUGUGUAAUUUUUUAAAAUUUUAUUUAGCCAAAAGAUGAAAUAUACUUGGUUUAAAGAAUCCUCAUUUAAACGACUUCGUUGUGUGUUAUUGAGUAAACCGGACAUGAAAUCUGAAGGGAAUAUGUUCAAUUUAAUCCGUAAUAACGCACAUCAAUCUUUGGUUGGAUAAGCGGUGGAGUUGUAAAAGAAGACAAGACUGGAUUUUUGUUUCGCGACGUCGCCGAGAGAGAGAGAGAGAGAGAUGGGGAUGGUAAGAAAAGCUGGAGACUGGUCGUUCAAGGCCUUCACGGCGGGGCUAGGAUUCACCACCAUCUACCUUACAGCCACUUUCUCCGUUAAUGUCUACCGUGGCCUUUCUUGGAACAAUGCUCAAUCUAUAUCUGAAUUACAUGCUUCGAACCUCGGGAAUGUAUCAAAUAUCCUGGAGUUACUGUGAUGAGGUCUUAA